GUUUCUUUAAAGGGAUACCCACUGCUCAAAUACAAAGUAAGUAAAAAUGACUGGGUUGAUAUACCUUUAAAUGAAAACCUGCAGUCUUCCCCUUCCCUCCCCACCCAAUGAAGUCUUUUCAAGGCAGGUGUUCUGGACAAUAGUUGCCUCUUGAGAAAUCUGCGCUUUUUGCAAAAUAAAUGACACACUUCGCUCAAAGUUUUUCAGCAAGUAUGGGGUCUGGAGUGCCCAUUUGGCCAUGUUACUGUCACCUGGCUUACAAACUGACAGGUUUUGUUACUUCCUGGUUUGUUUAGCUCGGUGGAGCUAACUCAAAAGGGAGGCAACUGGACAGUGCGCUUGGCUUGCCGUGACUUACCAUUGAACUGCAUUGAAAAGGUAAUCGGACAGCCACAGAAUUUUUUUUUUUUUUUUUUUUUAAAGCUAUACCCCCAAUGAAACAAAUGCAUAAUUAAAGAAACAACGUUGGUGUUAAGCAUACAAAGAUAUAUUCCUAACAAACUGGUUCCUCUGCACCUGGCAUUGAGAUGUAGUAGUCUGACUAUAGUAUUAGGAAUACAAAACUGUAUUCCUAACACUGUUGCCUUUCCCCAUCCAUGAAAGGGUUAAAGAGCAGUUUUUAACACUUUAUUUCCAGGCCAAGACCAAUGAGAUGAUAUAUGGGUGCUUAUAGUUUCCCUUUUAAAGGCAUGUUUUUGUUUGGG